ACAGUUAGUGUCAAGAACAAUGGGAGGCAGCUGGUUCUUGGUAAUUUCUCUAGUGGCAGUGUGGCUCAACAAAGGGUCAUGUUUGCCAAUUGAUGCAAACUAUGAAUGGGCUGAUCAGAGAGAAGUUCCGUUAAAUGGAAAAGCUCUGAAACAUGAACAUGGCUCUGCAUUUCUCCAGGCUUUGGAUUCCAAGUUGAGCAUACUAGCUAAAGAAGCCAAAGAAGUGGGGAUUGUGACUGCAGGCGACGAAGCCCACAACGUGACUGCAGGCGACGAAGC